UACGGGAGGGGGUUAGCGUUGUUCGGAAUGGACUGGGCGUAAAGCGCGCGUAGGCGGACCUGCAAGUCGGGGGUGAAAUCCCGGGGCUCAACCCUGGAAUGGCCUCGAGACUGCCGGUCUGAGUUCGAGAGAGGUGGGUGGAAUUCCGAGUGUAGAGGUGAAAUGCGUAGAUAUCUGGAGGAACACCGGUGGCGAAGGCGGCAUCCUGGACCGGCAUUGACGCUGAGGCGCGAAAGCCAGGGGAGCAAACGGG
rnacentral:rRNA from 1 species